rnacentral:rRNA from 1 species
AGAGUUUGAUCCUGGCUCAGGAUGAACGCUGGCGGCGUGCUUAACACAUGCAAGUCGAACGAACCUUCGGGUUAGUGGCGGACGGGUGAGUAACGCGUGGGAAUCUGCCCUCAGGAGGGGGAUAACGGUUGGAAACGGCCGCUAAUACCCCAUAUGCCGAGAGGUGAAAUGAAUUUCGCCUGAGGAUGAGCCCGCGUCUGAUUAGCUAGUUGGUGAGGUAAUGGCUCACCAAGGCAUCGAUCAGUAGCUGGUCUGAGAGGAUGAUCAGCCACACUGGGACUGAGACACGGCCCAGACUCCUACGGGAGGCAGCAGUGGGGAAUUUUCCGCAAUGGGCGCAAGCCUGACGGAGCAACGCCGCGUGAGGGAUGAAGGCCUCUGGGCUGUAAACCUCUUUUCUCAAGGAAGAAGAUCUGACGGUACUCGAGGAAUAAGCCACGACUAAUUCCGUGCCAGCAGCCGCGGUAAUACGGGAGUGGCAAGCGCUAUCCGGAAUUAUUGGGCGUAAAGCGUCCGCAGGCGGCUUUUCAAGUCUGCUGUUAAAGCGUGGAGCUUAACUCCAUCAAGGCAGUGGAAACUGAUUGGCUCGAGUGUGGUAGGGGCAGAGGGAAUUCCCGGUGUAGCGGUGAAAUGCGUAGAUAUCGGGAAGAACACCAGUGGCGAAGGCGCUCUGCUGGGCCAUAACUGACGCUCAUGGACGAAAGCCAGGGGAGCGAAAGGGAUUAGAUACCCCUGUAGUCCUGGCCGUAAACGAUGAACACUAGGUGUCGGGGGAAUCGACCCCCUCGGUGUCGUAGCCAACGCGUUAAGUGUUCCGCCUGGGGAGUACGCACGCAAGUGUGAAACUCAAAGGAAUUGACGGGGGCCCGCACAAGCGGUGGAGUAUGUGGUUUAAUUCGAUGCAACGCGAAGAACCUUACCAGGGUUUGACAUCCUGCGAAUCUCUUGGAAACGAGAGAGUGCCUUUGGGAACGCAGUGACAGGUGGUGCAUGGCUGUCGUCAGCUCGUGUCGUGAGAUGUUGGGUUAAGUCCCGCAACGAGCGCAACCCACGUUUUUAGUUGCCAGCAUUCAGUUGGGCACUCUAGAGAGACCGCCGGUGAUAAACCGGAGGAAGGUGUGGAUGACGUCAAGUCAUCAUGCCCCUUACAUCCUGGGCUACACACGUACUACAAUGCUACGGACAAAGGGCAACGAACUCGCGAGGGCAAGCAAAUCCCAUAAACCGUGGCUCAGUUCAGAUCGUAGGCUGCAACUCGCCUACGUGAAGAAGGAAUCGCUAGUAAUCGCAGGUCAGCAUACUGCGGUGAAUACGUUCCCGGGCCUUGUACACACCGCCCGUCACACCAUGGAAGUUGGCCACGCCCGAAGUCGUUACUCCAACCCUUGUGGAGGAGGACGCCGAAGGUGGGGCUGAUGACUGGGGUGAAGUCGUAACAAGGUAACC